GGGUUGUGAGGUUAAGCGACUAAGCGUACACGGUGGAUGCCCUGGCAGUCAGAGGCGAUGAAGGACGUGCUAAUCUGCGAAAAGCGUCGGUAAGGUGAUAUGAACCGUUAUAACCGGCGAUGUCCGAAUGGGGAAACCCAGUGCAAUUCGUUGCACUAUCGUUAACUGAAUACAUAGGUUAACGAGGCGAACCGGGGGAACUGAAACAUCUAAGUACCCCGAGGAAAAGAAAUCAACCGAGAUUCCCCCAGUAGCGGCGAGCGAACGGGGAGCAGCCCAGAGUCUGAAUCAGCUUGUGUGUUAGUGGAACGGUCUGGAAAGUCCGACGGUACAGGGUGAUAGUCCCGUACACCAAAAUGCACAGGCUGUGAACUCGAAGAGUAGGGCGGGACACGUGGUAUCCUGUCUGAAUAUGGGGGGACCAUCCUCCAAGGCUAAAUACUCCUGACUGACCGAUAGUGAACCAGUACCGUGAGGGAAAGGCGAAAAGAACCCCGGCGAGGGGAGUGAAAAAGAACCUGAAACCGUGUACGUACAAGCAGUGGGAGCACCUUCGGGUGUGACUGCGUACCUUUUGUAUAAUGGGUCAGCGACUUAUAUUCUGUAGCAAGGUUAACCGUAUAGGGGAGCCGCAGGGAAACCGAGUCUUAACUGGGCGUUAAGUUGCAGGGUAUAGACCCGAAACCCGGUGAUCUAGCCAUGGGCAGGUUGAAGGUUGGGUAACACUAACUGGAGGACCGAACCGACUAAUGUUGAAAAAUUAGCGGAUGACUUGUGGCUGGGGGUGAAAGGCCAAUCAAACCGGGAGAUAGCUGGUUCUCCCCGAAAGCUAUUUAGGUAGCGCCUCGUGAAUUCAUCUUCGGGGUAGAGCACUGUUUCGGCUAGGGGGUCAUCCCGACUUACCAACCCGAUGCAAACUACGAAUACCGAAGAAUGUUAUCACGGGAGACACACGGCGGGUGCUAACGUCCGUCGUGAAGAGGGAAACAACCCAGACCGCCAGCUAAGGUCCCAAAGUCAUGGUUAAGUGGGAAACGAUGUGGGAAGGCACAGACAGCCAGGAUGUUGGCUUAGAAGCAGCCAUCAUUUAAAGAAAGCGUAAUAGCUCACUGGUCGAGUCGGCCUGCGCGGAAGAUGUAACGGGGCUAAACCAUGCACCGAAGCUGCGGCAGCGACACUAUGUGUUGUUGGGUAGGGGAGCGUUCUGUAAGCCUGCGAAGGUGACCUGUGAGGGUUGCUGGAGGUAUCAGAAGUGCGAAUGCUGACAUAAGUAACGAUAAAGCGGGUGAAAAGCCCGCUCGCCGGAAGACCAAGGGUUCCUGUCCAACGUUAAUCGGGCAGGGUGAGUCGACCCCUAAGGCGAGGCCGAAAGGCGUAGUCGAUGGGAAACAGGUUAAUAUUCCUGUACUUGGUGUUACUGCGAAGGGGGGACGGAGAAGGCUAUGUUAGCCGGGCGACGGUUGUCCCGGUUUAAGCAUGUAGGCUGGUUAUCCAGGCAAAUCCGGAUAAUCAAGGCUGAGGUGUGAUGACGAGGCACUACGGUGCUGAAGUAACAAAUGCCCUGCUUCCAGGAAAAGCCUCUAAGCAUCAGGUAACAUCAAAUCGUACCCCAAACCGACACAGGUGGUCAGGUAGAGAAUACCAAGGCGCUUGAGAGAACUCGGGUGAAGGAACUAGGCAAAAUGGUGCCGUAACUUCGGGAGAAGGCACGCUGGUGUGUAGGUGAAGUCCCUGCGGAUGGAGCUGAGACCAGUCGAAGAUACCAGCUGGCUGCAACUGUUUAUUAAAAACACAGCACUGUGCAAACACGAAAGUGGACGUAUACGGUGUGACGCCUGCCCGGUGCCGGAAGGUUAAUUGAUGGGGUUAUCCGUAAGGAGAAGCUCUUGAUCGAAGCCCCGGUAAACGGCGGCCGUAACUAUAACGGUCCUAAGGUAGCGAAAUUCCUUGUCGGGUAAGUUCCGACCUGCACGAAUGGCGUAAUGAUGGCCAGGCUGUCUCCACCCGAGACUCAGUGAAAUUGAACUCGCUGUGAAGAUGCAGUGUACCCGCGGCAAGACGGAAAGACCCCGUGAACCUUUACUAUAGCUUGACACUGAACAUUGAGCCUUGAUGUGUAGGAUAGGUGGGAGGCUUUGAAGCGUGGACGCCAGUCUGCGUGGAGCCAACCUUGAAAUACCACCCUUUAAUGUUUGAUGUUCUAACGUUGGCCCCUUACCGGGGUUGCGGACAGUGUCUGGUGGGUAGUUUGACUGGGGCGGUCUCCUCCCAAAGCGUAACGGAGGAGCACGAAGGUUAGCUAAUCCUGGUCGGACAUCAGGAGGUUAGUGCAAUGGCAUAAGCUAGCUUGACUGCGAGCGUGACGGCGCGAGCAGGUGCGAAAGCAGGUCAUAGUGAUCCGGUGGUUCUGAAUGGAAGGGCCAUCGCUCAACGGAUAAAAGGUACUCCGGGGAUAACAGGCUGAUACCGCCCAAGAGUUCAUAUCGACGGCGGUGUUUGGCACCUCGAUGUCGGCUCAUCACAUCCUGGGGCUGAAGUAGGUCCCAAGGGUAUGGCUGUUCGCCAUUUAAAGUGGUACGCGAGCUGGGUUUAGAACGUCGUGAGACAGUUCGGUCCCUAUCUGCCGUGGGCGCUGGAGAAUUGAGGGGGGCUGCUCCUAGUACGAGAGGACCGGAGUGGACGCAUCACUGGUGUUCGGGUUGUCAUGCCAAUGGCACUGCCCGGUAGCUAAAUGCGGAAGAGAUAAGUGCUGAAAGCAUCUAAGCACGAAACUUGCCCCGAGAUGAGUUCUCCCUGAGACUUUAAGUCUCCUGAAGGAACGUUAAAGACGAUGACGUUGAUAGGCCGGGUGUGUAAGCGCAGCGAUGCGUUGAGCUAACCGGUACUAAUGAACCGUGAGGCUUAACCUUACAACGCCGAAG
rnacentral:rRNA from 1 species